rnacentral:sRNA from 2 species
UUGUGUUAGCGAUUGAAGUGGCAUCCUUUUUUGAAGUGUAACGAAGAAAAAGAUAUAACGGAAAGCGCGACCUGAA